GGGAGGUGUGUUCAGGUGCAUUCUGGGCCUGCUGGUCUCACAGGGGAGGUGUGUUCAGGUGCAUUGUGGGCGUGCUGGUCUUACAGGGAGAUGUGUUCAGGUGCAUUCUGGGACGUGCUGGUGUUACAGGGAGGUGUGUUCAGGUGCAUUCUGGGCAUGCUGGGGUUACAGGGAGGUGUGUUCAGGUGCAUUCUGGGCGUGCUGGUCUUUACAGGAGGUGUUCGGUGCAUCUGGGCGUGCUGGCUCUACAGUGAGG